GCUCCCAUAGUUUAAUGGAUAGAGCAUAGGUCUUCGGAACCUAGUGUGAGGGUUCGAAUCCUUCUGGGAGCGCCA
rnacentral:tRNA from 2 species